rnacentral:rRNA from 1 species
GACGAACCGUGCGAACGUUGUUCGGAUUCACUGGGCUUAAAGGGCGCGUAGGCGGGCAGGCGAGUCCGGGGUGAAAUCUCCCGGCCCAACCGGGAAAGGGCCCCGGAGACCGCCUGCCUCGAGGGGGGUAGGGGCGUGUGGAACUUCCGGUGGAGCGGUGAAAUGCGUAGAUAUCGGAAGGAACGCCGGUGGCGAAAGCGACGCACUGGGCCCCUCCUGACGCUGAGGCGCGAAAGCCAGGGGAGCAAACGGG